ACAUGGCAGCAAAUGUAAAUAUACUUUCUCACACACAAUACUUCUUUAAUUAGCCCUAACUGACGCCCAAAACAUCUCAUCUCAUUCACACAUUAUCGCUGAUUUGCCGCUGCUCUCAUUCACACCCAAACACCCAAACAUCAUCGCUAAUCGUCGUUGCUCUUCACUCGCCGUUGCUGUUCUCCGCUCACCGCUGCUGGUCUCCUCAUCAUUUUAUCGAUGGUAAUCAGAUGCAUACCAUUUUUAAAGAAUUUGAUACUUAUGCCUAAUGCUCAUCUUUACUUCUUCACAGACAGCUGCACAUUUCUUUGAUUUUUGGUAAUCGUCAAGAAUUAAUUAAAUGGGCUUCUGACGUUGGGAAGAAGACUGGAUAUGUCAUUGUUAUAAAGACAUCAAAUGCGAGAGGUAAUGGUAGAAAAUCAAGACUUACACUUACUUGUGAAAGAAGUGGUUACUAUAGAGACAACAGGAAGAUCAAGGGGGAACGAUUAAGGUUGACAGGUUCUAAAAAGUGUGGAUAUCCAUUUCUAUUAAGGAAGGAAAAUUACCUACAAAUGAUGUAGUGGAUGUUGCAUGUCUUAUGCGGCGUGUACAAUCAUCGGCCUGUUGAACAUCUUGAAGGGCACUCAUUUGUUGACAGAUUAUCUAAGGAAGAAACAACCUUACUAGUAACAUGCUAAAGAGUAUGGUGCGACCAAAAGAGAUAUUGGUUACAUUGAAACAAAGGGAUGCCUUCAAUGCGACAACAAUGAAGACAAUCUACAACACACGUCAUCAGCAUCGAGUAGUUCAAAGGGCUGGAAGAUCACAGAUGCAAUAACUAUUAAGGUGAUCAAACGCGUGACCAGGUUCAGUGCUAAUAGCCUGGAGGUCCGUUCAGUCAACCAACCACUGUGCCUCUCGAUGAGGUUCCCGUUUUGAAGUGGUCAAGUUUUUGUGAACAAUGUUUAAGACCUUUUUGUAUUUCUUUGUUAAGUCUGAACAUGUCUUUUGGUUAUCUAUAUGUAUAUAUGGUGACGUGUGGAUGACGUCAUAACUAUGCAAAUUAAGUUUUAAUUUUUUUUUGUCCCAUGUAUAUCUAUACAGCUCUGUGGAAAAUAUAUUUUGAUAUUUGUU